rnacentral:rRNA from 1 species
UAAACGACUCUCGGCAACGGAUAUCUCGGCUCUCGCAUCGAUGAAGAACGUAGCGAAAUGCGAUACUUGGUGUGAAUUGCAGAAUCCCGCGAACCAUCGAGUCUUUGAACGCAAGUUGCGCCCGAAGCCAUUAGGUUGAGGGCACGUCUGCCUGGGCGUCUCGCGCUGCGUCGC